CUAAGCCAUGCGAGUCAUGGGGCGCGCUCUGCGCGCACCGGCGGACGGCUCAGUAACACGUCGGUAACCUACCCUCGGGAGGGGGAUAACCCCGGGAAACUGGGGCUAAUCCCCCAUAGGCCUGAGGUACUGGAAGGUCCUCAGGCCGAAAGGGUCUUUGACCGCCCGAGGAUGGGCCGGCGGCCGAUUAGGUAGUUGGUGGGGUAACGGCCCACCAAGCCGAAGAUCGGUACGGGCCAUGAGAGUGGGAGCCCGGAGAUGGACACUGAGACACGGGUCCAGGCCCUACGGGGCGCAGCAGGCGCGAAACCUCCGCAAUGCGGGCAACCGCGACGGGGGGACCCCCAGUGCCGUGGCAUCGCCACGGCUUUUCCGGAGUGUAAAAAGCUCCGGGAAUAAGGGCUGGGCAAGGCCGGUGGCAGCCGCCGCGGUAAUACCGGCGGCCCGAGUGGUGGCCGCUAUUAUUGGGCCUAAAGCGUCCGUAGCCGGGCCCGUAAGUCCCUGGCGAAAUCCCACGGCUCAACCGUGGGGCUUGCUGGGGAUACUGCGGGCCUUGGGACCGGGAGAGGCCGGGGGUACCCCUGGGGUAGGGGUGAAAUCCUAUAAUCCCAGGGGGACCGCCAGUGGCGAAGGCGCCCGGCUGGAACGGGUCCGACGGUGAGGGACGAAGGCCAGGGGAGCGAACCGGAUUAGAUACCCGGGUAGUCCUGGCUGUAAAGGAUGCGGGCUAGGUGUCGGGCGAGCUUCGAGCUCGCCCGGUGCCGAAGGGAAGCCGUUAAGCCCGCCGCCUGGGGAGUACGGCCGCAAGGCUGAAACUUAAAGGAAUUGGCGGGGGAGCACUACAAGGGUG
rnacentral:rRNA from 1 species